GAACUUUGGACAUUUCUGGCAUUGGGUAUCAUCUUACUUUACUGUGUGACUAGGGGAAAAAGGAGCAGAAGCUAAAUAUGUCAGAGGACAUCACUGAAAGAUUACAAAGGUAGUGAAGAAUGAACCGCCUUCAUCAGGCUUCUUUGCUGAAGACAAGUCCUUUGAAAGGAUUCAGUUUUGUUAUGACUCCAUUCAGUGAGCCUUUCCGUACUGCCCUGGGUAGCUUUGCUGCCGUUCACCUGCCUGCGGAUGGAAAAGGAUGUGUUCACCACAGAGAUAAAAGCUGA
rnacentral:lncRNA from 1 species